rnacentral:rRNA from 1 species
AGACCCGAAACCCGGUGAUCUAGCCAUGGGCAGGUUGAAGGUUGGGUAACACUAACUGGAGGACCGAACCGACUAAUGUUGAAAAAUUAGCGGAUGACCUGUGGCUGGGGGUGAAAGGCCAAUCAAACCGGGAGAUAGCUGGUUCUCCCCGAAAGCUAUUUAGGUAGCGCCUCGUGAAUUCAUCUCCGGGGGUAGAGCACUGUUUCGGCUAGGGGGCCAUCCCGGCUUACCAACCCGAUGCAAACUGCGAAUACCGGAGAAUGUUAUCACGGGAGACACACGGCGGGUGCUAACGUCCGUCGUGAAGAGGGAAACAACCCAGACCGCCAGCUAAGGUCCCAAAGUCAUGGUUAAGUGGGAAACGAUGUGGGAAGGCCCAGACAGCCAGGAUGUUGGCUUAGAAGCAGCCAUCAUUUAAAGAAAGCGUAAUAGCUCACUGGUCGAGUCGGCCUGCGCGGAAGAUGUAACGGGGCUAAACCAUGCACCGAAGCUGCGGCAGCGACACUCAGGUGUUGUUGGGUAGGGGAGCGUUCUGUAAGCCUGUGAAGGUGGCCUGUGAGGGUUGCUGGAGGUAUCAGAAGUGCGAAUGCUGACAUAAGUAACGAUAAAGCGGGUGAAAAGCCCGCUCGCCGGAAGACCAAGGGUUCCUGUCCAACGUUAAUCGGGGCAGGGUGAGUCGACCCCUAAGGCGAGGCCGAAAGGCGUAGUCGAUGGGAAACGGGUUAAUAUUCCCGUACUUGGUGUUACUGCGAAGGGGGGACGGAGAAGGCUAUGUUGGCCGGGCGACGGUUGUCCCGGUUUAAGCGUGUAGGUGUGUGUUCCAGGUAAAUCCGGUUCACUUUAACACUGAGGCGUGACGACGAGGCACUACGGUGCUGAAGCAACAAAUGCCCUGCUUCCAGGAAAAGCCUCUAAGCAUCAGGUAACAUCAAAUCGUACCCCAAACCGACACAGGUGGUCAGGUAGAGAAUACCAAGGCGCUUGAGAGAACUCGGGUGAAGGAACUAGGCAAAAUGGUGCCGUAACUUCGGGAGAAGGCACGCUGACACGUAGGUGAAGUGAUUUACUCAUGGAGCUGAAGUCAGUCGAAGAUACCAGCUGGCUGCAACUGUUUAUUAAAAACACAGCACUGUGCAAACACGAAAGUGGACGUAUACGGUGUGACGCCUGCCCGGUGCCGGAAGGUUAAUUGAUGGGGUCAGCGCAAGCGAAGCUCCUGAUCGAAGCCCCGGUAAACGGCGGCCGUAACUAUAACGGUCCUAAGGUAGCGAAAUUCCUUGUCGGGUAAGUUCCGACCUGCACGAAUGGCGUAAUGAUGGCCAGGCUGUCUCCACCCGAGACUCAGUGAAAUUGAACUCGCUGUGAAGAUGCAGUGUACCCGCGGCAAGACGGAAAGACCCCGUGAACCUUUACUAUAGCUUGACACUGAACAUUGAGCCUUGAUGUGUAGGAUAGGUGGGAGGCUUUGAAGUGUGGACGCCAGUCUGCAUGGAGCCGACCUUGAAAUACCACCCUUUAAUGUUUGAUGUUCUAACGUGGACCCGUAAUCCGGGUUGCGGACAGUGUCUGGUGGGUAGUUUGACUGGGGCGGUCUCCUCCUAAAGAGUAACGGAGGAGCACGAAGGUUGGCUAAUCCUGGUCGGACAUCAGGAGGUUAGUGCAAUGGCAUAAGCCAGCUUGACUGCGAGCGUGACGGCGCGAGCAGGUGCGAAAGCAGGUCAUAGUGAUCCGGUGGUUCUGAAUGGAAGGGCCAUCGCUCAACGGAUAAAAGGUACUCCGGGGAUAACAGGCUGAUACCGCCCAAGAGUUCAUAUCGACGGCGGUGUUUGGCACCUCGAUGUCGGCUCAUCACAUCCUGGGGCUGAAGUAGGUCCCAAGGGUAUGGCUGUUCGCCAUUUAAAGUGGUACGCGAGCUGGGUUUAGAACGUCGUGAGACAGUUCGGUCCCUAUCUGCCG